GACGAACGCUGGCGGCGUGCCUAAUACAUGCAAGUCGAACGCUGAAGGGAGGAGCUUACUCUUCUUGGUUGAGUUGCGAACGGGUGAGUAACGCGUAGGUAACCUGCCUUGUAGCGGGGGAUAACUAUUGGAAACGAUAGCUAAUACCGCAUAACAAUGGAUGACACAUGUCAUUUAUUUGAACGGGGCAAUUGCUCCACUACAAGAUGGACCUGCGUUGUAUUAGCUAGUAGGUGAGGUAAUGGCCCACCUAGGCGAAGGUACAUAGCCUGCCCGAGAGGGUGGAUGACCACAAUGGGAACGGGACACGGCCCAAACUUCUACGGGAGGCAGCAGUAGGGAAUUUUUGGAAAUGGGGGCAAACCCGACUGAGCAACGGCGCCUGAGUGAAGGAGGGUUUUGGGUCGGAAAACUCGGUUGUAAGUCGAGAAAGGGUGUGAGGGUGGAACGUUCACAUUGUGACGUUAGCUAACGAGUAAGGGACGGCUAACUACGUG
rnacentral:rRNA from 1 species